CCUACGGGAGGCAGCAGUGGGGAAUAUUGGGCAAUGGGCGCAAGCCUGACCCAGCAACGCCGCGUGAAGGAAGAAGGCUUUCGGGUUGUAAACUUCUUUUCUCAGGGACGAAGCAAGUGACGGUACCUGAGGACUAAGCCACGGCUAACUACGUGCCAGCAGCCGCGGUAAUACGUAGGUGGCAAGCGUUAUCCGGAUUUACUGGGUGUAAAGGGCGUGUAGGCGGGAAAGCAAGUCAGGUGUGAAAACCAUGGGCUCAACCUGUGGCCUGCAUUUGAAACUGUUUUUCUUGAGUACUGGAGAGGCAGACGGAAUUCCUAGUGUAGCGGUGAAAUGCGUAGAUAUUAGGAGGAACACCAGUGGCGAAGGCGGUCUGCUGGACAGCAACUGACGCUGAGGCGCGAAAGCGUGGGGAGCAAACAGGAUUAGAUACCCGGGUAGUC
rnacentral:rRNA from 1 species